GCUUGUUUAUAUUCGGCUACUCUUUGGAUUUUAUCGCUACGUUUGAAAUACGUAAACUGUCUCCGCCAAUGAAAACGUUCUUUACAACCACCGUUUUGUCAACGGUAAUCAUGGCAGGCGAAGGUAAUUUUCGAAAGCGAAACAGUUCAAUUGCAAAUUUGUGUCUCUGUGGUCGAGUGGUUUAAGGUAGCAUCCAGCAGGCGUACAGAGGGUCUAUGGUUGUACUGAAAUAUGGCAUGGAGGGAACGUGGGGUCCUCCACCAUCAAAAGCUUGAAAGUCGCCAUAUGACGCAUAAUUGUCAGUGUGAAACUAUAGGACACAAAAUAUGAUGCAGGAAAGGGCCAAAAAGAGUUUGACAUUGACAUCAGCCAAGGACCAUGACUUCUGUGCACUGGCAGACCCAAAGAAAGAUACAAUGUUAGAGGUUUGGAUCUCUGUCCAGACUGUGCCCCUUCUGCAGAUUUGCAGUUUGAAAAAAAAAACCUUCAUCAAUCAUUUAGAUGAAUAGACCAGAUUCAAGCUGGAAAAAGUUGGUUACUGUUGGAUCAAACCUAAUGGAGCAGUUUCUUGAUCUAGUAGGUAUGUGCUAGACUUGUAAUCCAGGGGUCACAGGUUCCAUCUGCUGCUCUUCCACUGACAUAGCUAAUCAUCUUUCAGGUGAGACUCUUAACCAAGAUACCAUGUAUCCAUAUACCCCUGCUAUACACCCUGCAUGUAAUAGAAACAGGUGUCUCUGGAACUGGCAUUACAACUGUAUAUUUCACUACUUCCUGAAAUCUAAAAUAACUAACUUCUUCAUAUUGUGUUGGUCAUAUAGGCAAUAAUAAAGUAUUAAAGAAGAAAUCACAGACUUGAAAUUGUUUCA